CUUCUGCCCUUCCUGGGCGUUUCCUCCCUAAUGAACUGGCCCGGUGGUUUCACCGGGCUUUUUUUUGGCC
rnacentral:sRNA from 1 species